GUCCCGAUAUCCAGAAGCAGAGUUUGAAAAACUCUAGCGACGGCACGGGUGUCCGACUCACGACAACGAGGAUAGACAGCCGGUCCCCUCUGAACGGUAUAUAAUAUACAUUAUGCGACGAUGAUAGACGACAAACUGGAUGAAACUUUAAGUCUCGUUCAGGUAGUGUGUAAAUCAAAAAUUCGAUGGGACUCGCAUCCGUCGUCCUCGCGCGGUCUUUCGUCCCGAUAUCCAGAAGCAGAGUUUGAAAAACUCUAGCGACGGCACGGGUCUCCGACUCACGACAACGAGGAAAGACAGCCGGUCCCCUCUGAACGGUAUAUUAUAUGAAACUUUAAGUCUCGUUCAGGUAGUGUUUAAAUAAAAAAUUCGAUGGGACUCGCAUCCGUCGUCCUCGCGCGGUCUUUCGUCCCGAUAUCCAGAAGCAGAGUUUGAAAAACUCUAGCGACGGCACGGGUGUCCGACUCACGACAACGAGGAAAGACAGCCGGUCCCCUCUGAACGGUAUAUUAUAUGAAACUUUAAGUCUCGUUCAGGUAGUGUUUAAAUAAAAAAUUCGAUGGGACUCGCAUCCGUCGUCCUCGCGCGGUCUUUCGUCCCGAUAUCCAGAAGCAGAGUUUGAAAAACUCUAGCGACGGCACGGGUGUCCGACUCACGACAACGAGGAAAGACAGCCGGUCCCCUCUGAACGGUAUAUUAUAUGAAACUUUAAGUCUCGUUCAGGUAGUGUGUAAGUCAAAAAUUCGAUGGGACUCGCAUCCGUCGUCCUCGCGCGGUCUUUCGUCCCGAUAUCCAGAAGCAGAGUUUGAAAAACUCUAGCGACGGCACGGGUGUCCGACUCACGACAACGAGGAUAGACAGCCGGUCCCCUCUGAACGGUAUAUAAUAUGAAACUUUAAGUCUCGUUCAGGUAGUGUGUAAGUCAAAAAUUCGAUGGGACUCGCAUCCGUCGUCCUCGCGCGGUCUUUCGUCCCGAUAUCCAGAAGCAGAGUUUGAAAAACUCUAGCGACGGCACGGGUGUCCGACUCACGACAACGAGGAUAGACAGCCGGUCCCCUCUGAACGGUAUAUAAUAUACAUUAUGCGACGAUGAUAGACGACAAACUGGAUGAAACUUUAAGUCUCGUUCAGGUAGUGUGUAAAUCAAAAAUUCGAUGGGACUCGCAUCCGUCGUCCUCGCGCGGUCUUUCGUCCCGAUAUCCAGAAGCAGAGUUUGAAAAACUCUAGCGACGGCACGGGUCUCCGACUCACGACAACGAGGAAAGACAGCCGGUCCCCUCUGAACGGUAUAUUAUAUGAAACUUUAAGUCUCGUUCAGGUAGUGUUUAAAUAAAAAAUUCGAUGGGACUCGCAUCCGUCGUCCUCGCGCGGUCUUUCGUCCCGAUAUCCAGAAGCAGAGUUUGAAAAACUCUAGCGACGGCACGGGUGUCCGACUCACGACAACGAGGAAAGACAGCCGGUCCCCUCUGAACGGUAUAUUAUAUGAAACUUUAAGUCUCGUUCAGGUAGUGUUUAAAUAAAAAAUUCGAUGGGACUCGCAUCCGUCGUCCUCGCGCGGUCUUUCGUCCCGAUAUCCAGAAGCAGAGUUUGAAAAACUCUAGCGACGGCACGGGUGUCCGACUCACGACAACGAGGAAAGACAGCCGGUCCCCUCUGAACGGUAUAUUAUAUGAAACUUUAAGUCUCGUUCAGGUAGUGUGUAAGUCAAAAAUUCGAUGGGACUCGCAUCCGUCGUCCUCGCGCGGUCUUUCGUCCCGAUAUCCAGAAGCAGAGUUUGAAAAACUCUAGCGACGGCACGGGUGUCCGACUCACGACAACGAGGAUAGACAGCCGGUCCCCUCUGAACGGUAUAUAAUAUGAAACUUUAAGUCUCGUUCAGGUAGUGUGUAAGUCAAAAAUUCGAUGGGACUCGCAUCCGUCGUCCUCGCGCGGUCUUUCGUCCCGAUAUCCAGAAGCAGAGUUUGAAAAACUCUAGCGACGGCACGGGUGUCCGACUCACGACAACGAGGAUAGACAGCCGGUCCCCUCU